AGCUCCUCAAGCUGGGUCUCUGCCUGAGUGGCCUGUUGCCGGGUAACCAUUACCCUAGCUCUCAGUCGGUCCUGUGGCACCCAUCCAGAAGGCAAGCAACAAAAGGUUAGGAGGGUUGUAACCUUUGAGUCACCACCAGUACAGAUGCUGGGCACUUUCCUCAUGGCCCUAAUGGUAAGUGCCUUGGACAAUCCCAGAACUAGGUCAGAGUCCCGGGAGGCCUGGAUAGGGACCUUUCUCUGCAUGGAGCAGGAUGCUAUAUGAGGAAUGUGUUGGUCUUGGGUUGAAGACCCCACUUCCGGUCCCACUCCUGUGGCUUGCAGGUUGAGUGACCUGGACAGAGUUCCCCCACCUUCUCUGGUCCAAACCUCAUGCCUACCCCAGGCAACAAAGGAGAGAGGUAGCACUGGGCUUACAGAGCCUGGGGUGGGGCGGGAGACUGGACAGAGUUGUCUGACCAGUGAUCAGUUCAGCACCUAGGAGCCCAGAGGGAAGACGGACGUUAUUAUCAUUUGGUUGACUUCUGUUCUCCCCGGAGACCAAAAUGUGCUGUUAUAGGAGCACCAUUCUGGUACUUGAAGAUGAUGCUUAACCUGGCUAAGAGUCUCAUUACCUGUUUUUACUCCUUCCAACACCAUUUUGAGUUGGGAACCUUUAUCAUUGUUGCUUUGAGAUAGGGUCUCAUCAUGUAGCCCCGGCUGGCCUGGAACUUUCCACGUAGACCAACUUGAUCUUGAACACUUACAGAGAUCAGCCUACUUCUGCCUCCAGAGUGACAAGAUUAAAGCUGUGACCUCCUCCUCAUCUCCUACCCACUCCACACCCCCAGUUGGAGCUCAGUCUCCAGAAAGCAGAAAUUUGAUGACAUCAUCGCCCUGUCUCAAGCUCGGGAAGGUUCUGGACAUCCCGAGAGGAAGAGUCACCACCACCAUGCUGCCCAUCAUGGUGUGGUCCCCGAUGACCUGUUUGGAGAUUUCAGGAACCUGUCUCCUCCCCGUCAUCUCUGCUCCUUGGCGCUUGUCCCUGCGUCCUCUUUUUCUGGCUGGUACUUCCUCACCCCUGAGGAGUCACCUAAAGAGCGCCGCCCACUCUUCUUCAGCAGGCUGACCUUGCCAUCUCUAUAGAAUGAAACAUUUUGCUGAGACACUAUCUGACCCUUGAGUAGAUCUUCAGCCUCUGAAAGGCAGAAAGCACGCUUAUUGAAUGUUGGUCACCUUGGCGAAUGGGGCUGUUAGCCCUGGCCUAACACUCUGGCUCUGCUUUAUUCAGAGGACCUGGGGAGAGCUGUGUGGGACAGUCAGGUGUACAUGGCCUCUAGGUUCCUAUGGGAACCCGCAGCCUUCUGUUGCAGCCCCUGGCCCUGGCCACAAACAGUCCCGGCCCUUCUCUCACCUCG
rnacentral:sRNA from 1 species